rnacentral:sRNA from 1 species
CCCGAAGGCCCCACAACCCUGCGCGGCGCCUCAGAGGGGGCGCGCUUGACUGACAGGCGGCGGCGGCGCAGUUGCGAGCGCAGGUUCAUCCCCCAGGCUCCUUGCCAGAGGCCUCCACUCACUCCAGACCCCUAUAGCCCGUCGCUGUCAGCUGUCAACAAAGGAUGCGAAUGCUGGCCGCUUUCUGUGGGCUUCGUGUCACCCAGAGGUGAGCCCAGGCCAGGAUGGGGGACUCCAGGAACCUUUGCCCUCACCUUGACUCCAUAGGAGAGGUGACCAAAGAGGACUUGCUGCUCAAAUCUAAGGGAACCUGUCAGUCGUGUGGGGUCACCGGACCAAACCUAUGGGCCUGUCUCCAGGUUGCCUGCCCCUAUGUUGGCUGCGGAGAAUCCUUCGCUGACCACAGCACCAUUCAUGCACAGGCAAAAAAGCACAACUUGACCGUGAACCUGACCACGUUCCGACUGUGGUGUUACGCCUGUGAGAAGGAGGUAUUCCUGGAG